UACGUAGGGGGCAAGCGUUGUCCGGAAUCAUUGGGCGUAAAGAGCGUGUAGGCGGCCAGAUAAGUCCGCUGUGAAAUCUCGAGGCUCAACUUCGAGCUGUCGGUGGAAACUGUCUGGCUAGAGUCCGGAAGAGGAGAAUGGAAUUCCUGGUGUAGCGGUGAAAUGCGCAGAUAUCAGGAAGAACACCCGUGGCGAAGGCGGUUCUCUGGGACGGUACUGACGCUGAGGCGCGAAAGCGUGGGGAGCAAACGGG
rnacentral:rRNA from 1 species